UACGGGGGGUGCGAGCGUUGUCCGGAAUCACUGGGCGUAAAGGGCGCGUAGGUGGUCUGAUAAGGGUGUGGUGAAAGCCCGGGGCUCAACCCCGGGUCGGCCGUGCCGACUGUUAGACUAGAGUGCUGUAGGGGCAGGCGGAAUUCCGGGUGUAGCGGUGGAAUGCGUAGAGAUCCGGAGGAAGACCGGUGGCGAAGGCGGCCUGCUGGGCAGUUACUGACACUGAGGCGCGAAAGCGUGGGGAGCAAACAGG
rnacentral:rRNA from 1 species